rnacentral:tRNA from 1 species
GGGGGCGUAGCUCAGAUGGUAGAGCGCUCGAUUAGCAUGCGAGAGGUACCGGGAUCGAUACCCGGCGCCUCCA